rnacentral:rRNA from 1 species
CCCCUGCGGGGCGCAGCAGUGAGGAAUAUUGGUCAAUGGGCUUACGCCUGAACCAGCCAAGUCGCGUGAGGGAAGACUGCCCUAUGGGUUGUAAACCUCUUUUGUCAGGGAGCAACGCCGGCUACGUGUAGCCGGACUGAGAGUACCUGAAGAAAAAGCAUCGGCUAACUCCGAGCCAGCAGCGGCGGUAAUACGGAGGAUGCGAGAGUUAUCCGGAUUUAUUGGGUUUAAAGGGUGCGUAGGCGGAAUGCCAAGUCAGCGGAAAAAUGGCGGGGCUCAACAUCGCUCCGACGUUGAAACUGGCG